rnacentral:snoRNA from 1 species
GUGCUGUGAUGAUGCUAUAAAAUUGUGGUUUCGACUCGCUGAGAGUAAAAUGAAGACCUACAAUUCCUUGGCUGUGUCUGAGCAC